GAUCAGCAUCCCUGAGAAAGAAGGGCCAAGAGGUGCUGACCAGGACCGCAUGCCAACAACGAGAUUGUAGUUGUGAUAGAUGGAACACCAGCAGCCAUCUCAAACUAAGACGUGGCCUCUAGGAUGGAGGAGCGGAAACAAAGAAGGAGCCUGGGUCCUGAUGACUUGAUAGGAAGACCUUCCCAGCCCGCUGAUGGCUACCUCUGGACUUUGUGUGUGAGAUACAAAUGCUGGUGGCUUUGAGUCACUAGAUCAUGGGGGAUCUGAUGCUUGCUUGAGUGCUAUGCUAUGUAAAUUAAGUUGAUUGAGUGAUUGAUUACAGUGAGGAAACAGCACAUCUGAUGACCCUGACUCCUGCCCAUCCAUCUUCCUGGAGUAAGGUCACCAGAAGAUGGAAUUGGCAGAGUCACACGCUGAGGGGGUGUCUGGCUCUGGCCAGAGAGGAGCCUACGGUGCUCACUCUGCGCACCGCAGGACCCACCUCUCUCCUCGGCCACUAGGACGCUCAUGCAGCCAGCCUCAGUGAUCCUCCUCCUCCCUACAUGCUGCACGGAGCAUUCAGGGCAGAGCACGGUGGGUUGGACCCAGCCUCCAACCCCUGCCCCCUGGAUGCAGUAGGCACCUGUCCCCUCUCUCCCCUGCCAUCUCUAACAAUGGUGUGCCCGCUUGUUCUGUGUGUCGGAUGUCACUCCUGCUGGCUCUGAAGGUGACACGUCCUGUCUAGGUCCAAGGUCUAUGAUGGGGGAGGGGGAUGCACCUCCCUUCUGGUCCCUUCUGGAACCUUCUGGAACCCUCUGGAACUUCCAACCACUCAGCACAGUCCUGGUGGACAGGGUGGCUUGGUUCCGCUCCCUCCAGCGCCUUCUCCGGGCCAGCACAGGAUGCAGCAGGCAGCCUCUCGGGCACACUGGGAGAGUCAUGAAGUUCCCUCCUGACAGCCAAGAUGUCAGUGCCACCAGCCACUGCGCCACCUGCUCAGAGGGCUUUGUCCAUGUUUGUGUGCGCAGUGGUGGCCUCUGUCCCCAGUGCCACAUCCGGGGAACCACUCAGCAGCUUCUCCGAGCCCACUGCUGAGCCUCAUGUGGCUGUCCUCUGGCCCAUCCCUCUGAGCACAGCCAUGCCCCUCCUCCUGAUAGGGACAGAUGGAUUGGUGUCCCCACAUUUUGCCUCCACUGCCCAGCCCCUGGGCUCCCCAGUGUCCUGCGCUUCUUGUUGAGGGUCCCCAGUCAGCUCCCCAAGCAGAACAGAUCCAAACUCGGCUCCUUUGUGUCACCCCAGCCUCUGUGGUGUCAGCGGAUGGCGCCCCCACUUCCAAGGUGCUCAGCCCUAAAGCCUGGGGCUUGUUGCCUGGCCAGCUCUGCUGCCUACGGUCCUCCACCAGGAAAUCCUGUCAGCCUUGCCUUCAAGGGAUAACAGACCUCCACAACUUUUUACCAGGUGGCUGUUUCUAGCCUGGGCAGAGCCACCUCUCCCUCUCUUCAGCCUCCCUGGCGUCUCAGCUAUUCCUUAAAUCCCACAAACACGUCCUGCCUCGGGGCCUUCAUCCUGCUGCACCCUCUGCCCUAAUGCUCUUCCUUCAGGUAGCUACAUGGCUCACUCCUUCCUUCUCUGUUCAGUUUCCCAGCACCCAUGUCAACCCUCUGCAUCUGCUAUGGUUAGGGUGUGUUUGUCCCCAAAGGAGCAGGUGCCAGACUGUUUGUCCCAGUGUCUCAGUGUCCAGGUGCUGAACUUUAAGGGGUGG
ensembl:lncRNA